GAAUUUAAGAUGAGGUCAUACUGAAGCUGGGUGGGUCCCUGAUCUAAUAUAACUGGUGUCCUUAUAAAUAGGGAAAAAUUGAGCACAGAUACAGCCAUAGAGGUAAGGUUAUGUGAAAAGACACAAUGAGAAGGUGGCCAUCUACAAGCUAAAGAGAAAGGCCUGGGUUAGAUCCUUUCCUUACAGCCUACAGGGGAAAAGCUCUCAAGAAUUAAGGCAAAAUACAGAUAUUUUCAGAAAAACAAAAGCUGAGAGAAGUUAUUGCUUAACGAAAAUGGUCCUAAAUCCUAAGAAAGAGAAAAAGAACACAAGAGAACUGCAUUCAAAAUAGUCAAGAACAAUUUAGCCCUUAACAAUGAAAGCCAAAGAAUACAGUAUGACUCCGAAAAUAAAGGAAUCAUUUGAGAGGAAAGAUGUCUUCUUUGGACCAAAGAUCUCCUUUGUGAUUCCUUGCAACAGUCACUGAGAAUCUUCAAGUAUUCCGGAGAGCACCAUCGCUAAUUCCCAAGAAACUGCAUUUCUACUUUCUAUCCAUGCAAUAAAGCACAGAUUUUAUAAAUUCUCACUUGUCUAAGACAAGUAAACUUGUGUCAAAUAAGUAGUAAUAAAAAUUAAUUCAAUU